rnacentral:rRNA from 1 species
UACGAAGGGGGCUAGCGUUGCUCGGAAUCACUGGGCGUAAAGGGUGCGUAGGCGGGUCUUAAGUCAGGGGUGAAAUCCUGGAGCUCAACUCCAGAACUGCCUCUGAUACUGAGGAGCUCGAGUCCGGGAGAGGUGAGUGGAACUCCGAGUGUAGAGGUGAAAUUCGUAGAUAUUCGGAAGAACACCAGUGGCGAAGGCGGCUCACUGGCCCGGUACUGACGCUGAGGUGCGAAAGCGUGGGGAGCAAACAGG